ACCUGACUGGAUCAGUUGGUAAAGCGUGUGACUCUAAAUCUCAGGGUUGUGAGUUCGAGCCCCAUGUUGGGUG
rfam:Felis catus isolate Cinnamon breed Abyssinian chromosome D1, whole genome shotgun sequence.